rnacentral:rRNA from 2 species
GGGUUGUGAGGUUAAGCGACUAAGCGUACACGGUGGAUGCCCUGGCAGUCAGAGGCGAUGAAGGGCGUGCUAAUCUGCGAUAAGCGCCGGUAAGGUGAUAUGAACCGUUAUAACCGGCGAUACCCGAAUGGGGAAACCCAGUGUGAUUCGUCACACUAUCAUUAACUGAAUCCAUAGGUUAAUGAGGCGAACCGGGGGAACUGAAACAUCUAAGUACCCCGAGGAAAAGAAAUCAACCGAGAUUCCCCCAGUAGCGGCGAGCGAACGGGGAGGAGCCCAGAGCCUGAAUCAGCAUGUGUGUUAGUGGAAGCGUCUGGAAAGGCGCGCGAUACAGGGUGACAGCCCCGUACACAAAAGCGCAUGUGCUGUGAGCUCGAUGAGUAGGGCGGGACACGUGGUAUCCUGUCUGAAUAUGGGGGGACCAUCCUCCAAGGCUAAAUACUCCUGACUGACCGAUAGUGAACCAGUACCGUGAGGGAAAGGCGAAAAGAACCCCGGCGAGGGGAGUGAAAAAGAACCUGAAACCGUGUACGUACAAGCAGUGGGAGCACAGGUUUACCUGUGUGACUGCGUACCUUUUGUAUAAUGGGUCAGCGACUUAUAUUCUGUAGCAAGGUUAACCGAAUAGGGGAGCCGGAGGGAAACCGAGUCUUAAUUGGGCGUUAAGUUGCAGGGUAUAGACCCGAAACCCGGUGAUCUAGCCAUGGGCAGGUUGAAGGUUGGGUAACACUAACUGGAGGACCGAACCGACUAAUGUUGAAAAAUUAGCGGAUGACCUGUGGCUGGGGGUGAAAGGCCAAUCAAACCGGGAGAUAGCUGGUUCUCCCCGAAAGCUAUUUAGGUAGCGCCUCGUGAAUUCAUCUCCGGGGGUAGAGCACUGUUUCGGCUAGGGGGCCAUCCCGGCUUACCAACCCGAUGCAAACUGCGAAUACCGGAGAAUGUUAUCACGGGAGACACACGGCGGGUGCUAACGUCCGUCGUGAAGAGGGAAACAACCCAGACCGCCAGCUAAGGUCCCAAAGUCAUGGUUAAGUGGGAAACGAUGUGGGAAGGCCCAGACAGCCAGGAUGUUGGCUUAGAAGCAGCCAUCAUUUAAAGAAAGCGUAAUAGCUCACUGGUCGAGUCGGCCUGCGCGGAAGAUGUAACGGGGCUAAACCAUGCACCGAAGCUGCGGCAGCGACGCUUAUGCGUUGUUGGGUAGGGGAGCGUUCUGUAAGCCUGCGAAGGUGGCCUGUGAGGGUUGCUGGAGGUAUCAGAAGUGCGAAUGCUGACAUAAGUAACGAUAAAGCGGGUGAAAAGCCCGCUCGCCGGAAGACCAAGGGUUCCUGUCCAACGUUAAUCGGGGCAGGGUGAGUCGACCCCUAAGGCGAGGCCGAAAGGCGUAGUCGAUGGGAAACGGGUUAAUAUUCCCGUACUUGGUGUUACUGCGAAGGGGGGACGGAGAAGGCUAUGUUGGCCGGGCGACGGUUGUCCCGGUUUAAGCGUGUAGGUGUGUGUUCCAGGUAAAUCCGGUUCACUUUAACACUGAGGCGUGACGACGAGGCACUACGGUGCUGAAGCAACAAAUGCCCUGCUUCCAGGAAAAGCCUCUAAGCAUCAGGUAACAUCAAAUCGUACCCCAAACCGACACAGGUGGUCAGGUAGAGAAUACCAAGGCGCUUGAGAGAACUCGGGUGAAGGAACUAGGCAAAAUGGUGCCGUAACUUCGGGAGAAGGCACGCUGACACGUAGGUGAAGUGAUUUACUCAUGGAGCUGAAGUCAGUCGAAGAUACCAGCUGGCUGCAACUGUUUAUUAAAAACACAGCACUGUGCAAACACGAAAGUGGACGUAUACGGUGUGACGCCUGCCCGGUGCCGGAAGGUUAAUUGAUGGGGUCAGCGCAAGCGAAGCUCCUGAUCGAAGCCCCGGUAAACGGCGGCCGUAACUAUAACGGUCCUAAGGUAGCGAAAUUCCUUGUCGGGUAAGUUCCGACCUGCACGAAUGGCGUAAUGAUGGCCAGGCUGUCUCCACCCGAGACUCAGUGAAAUUGAACUCGCUGUGAAGAUGCAGUGUACCCGCGGCAAGACGGAAAGACCCCGUGAACCUUUACUAUAGCUUGACACUGAACAUUGAGCCUUGAUGUGUAGGAUAGGUGGGAGGCUUUGAAGUGUGGACGCCAGUCUGCAUGGAGCCGACCUUGAAAUACCACCCUUUAAUGUUUGAUGUUCUAACGUGGACCCGUUACCCGGGUUGCGGACAGUGUCUGGUGGGUAGUUUGACUGGGGCGGUCUCCUCCUAAAGAGUAACGGAGGAGCACGAAGGUUGGCUAAUCCUGGUCGGACAUCAGGAGGUUAGUGCAAUGGCAUAAGCCAGCUUGACUGCGAGCGUGACGGCGCGAGCAGGUGCGAAAGCAGGUCAUAGUGAUCCGGUGGUUCUGAAUGGAAGGGCCAUCGCUCAACGGAUAAAAGGUACUCCGGGGAUAACAGGCUGAUACCGCCCAAGAGUUCAUAUCGACGGCGGUGUUUGGCACCUCGAUGUCGGCUCAUCACAUCUGGGGCUGAAGUAGGUCCCAAGGGUAUGGCUGUUCGCCAUUUAAAGUGGUACGCGAGCUGGGUUUAGAACGUCGUGAGACAGUUCGGUCCCUAUCUGCCGUGGGCGCUGGAGAACUGAGGGGGGCUGCUCCUAGUACGAGAGGACCGGAGUGGACGCAUCACUGGUGUUCGGGUUGUCAUGCCAAUGGCACUGCCCGGUAGCUAAAUGCGGAAGAGAUAAGUGCUGAAAGCAUCUAAGCACGAAACUUGCCCCGAGAUGAGUUCUCCCUGAGACUUAAAGUCUCCUGAAGGAACGUUGAAGACGACGACGUUGAUAGGCCGGGUGUGUAAGCGCAGCGAUGCGUUGAGCUAACCGGUACUAAUGAACCGUGAGGCUUAACCUUACAACGCCGAAG